CUCCCCUCUUCCAUUUGUAGGUGUGAACAAGUCUUAGGCUGGUUCACAAGAAUCUUUAUAUUAUUGUUCUGGACAUAUUUUUACAGUUACAAAAUACAGUUGAAUGAUUGCUUUAUAACUUUUGUUUCAUGUAGAUACCGAGGAUGACUUGGAUAUCUUGGAGAAAGGAGAAGUAGUUGCUCAAGUCAGUUUUAGUUGUAAGUGGCAGCUCGGGUCUAAGACGGAUUCGAGAGACUGCAGAUAGAGUGCGGCUAGUCUGGUCCUUGGGAGAGAUAAGGAGUCCAUUUGCGGAGUGAAGUGACCAGAGCAUACUGGAUGGUGUGAAGAAGGCUGAUUGUUUUGACUCCUGUGGUCAUUGAUGCAACUCUGCUACAUGGCUGUAUGUUCAUAUUUUUUUCUUUCUAUUCCAUUUUGCAAAUUGUUUAAUACUUACAGAACCAAUCUGAAUAGUUACUCCUUUCGGACGGACAUUCUUGACAUCACAGCUGACUGACAACUACGAACUGGUUUACUUCAAAAGGAAAAAUGUAAUGAUUAAGACUGUAAUAUUUGUUGCCAUUCUGAAAUGUAUAAGAUAUGCUGACUGAGAGGAGACCAGGUAGUACAAUGCAUGUGCCUGCAAUGCAUGUGCCUGCACAUCAAGGAACAAUAAGUUACAUAUUUUGGCUUUCUCCUAAAUGAAUGUCCUUCACACCUUUUUCAAUCAAUAUCGAUUAGAACAGGGGUUCCCAAUCCUGGUCCUCAGGCCUCCAUGCCCUGCAUGUUUUAGAUGUUUCCCUGCUCCAACACACCUGAUUCCAAUGAAUGGGUUGUUAUCUAGCUAUGCAGAAACCUGCUAACGACCAUUCAUUUGAAUCAGGUGUGUUGGAACAAGGAAACAUAGAAAUGUCUGUUUAUUUAUUUACAUAUGAAGUGUUUGUCUUAAAAAAGGGAAGAAAGAGCCAAGACCUCACAUAUGAGCAACACCACCUACAGGUAGAACCCCCCCCCCCACUCCCCCCCAAAUACAUAUGGUGGAACUGUUUUCAUAUACCCCUUGUAAUCUGUUGAUCUAUUAAGUGUCAUUUAUUGAAUGCAAAUGGCUUUAUAAAAUGCUGGCACAUUAAUCAAGUACCCCUUCAUAAUCUUAACAUGCACAUUCAAUUUAAAACAAAAAGGAAGAACAUGAGUGAAAUCUUGAACAGAAAUGAUCUUUUGUAUGGUUAUGGUCCGUCUGACAGAAAAAUGAGAUCCCAGCCUAAACUAAUCUAGGCCACGUUCACAUGAAAUACAACCUUUUGUCUUUCCAUGGGUAUAUAUCACUGAUCUGACACGAGGAGAUAUAAGUAACAGCUAGGUACCUAUUCAACCAUCAUGAAUGCAAUACCAUGGAAGCUAAGCGGUUACAGCAUGUUAGGAGAAUUAAAUCAGGUCACAUGUCCAGGAUUGAGUCUAAGUAUCAGAAUAGGCUUCAUUUGAUUCUUGUAAAUAAAAUCCAAUGCUAGUCGUAUAUUAACACUCUUGCCAAUGUGUUGAAGUGUAACUAUGCCCUCCCCCCCCACAAAAAAACCUAACCCUAACAAUGGGAAUAAUAAUCUUUUAAAAAGCCAUGUACAGAAAAA